rnacentral:misc_RNA from 1 species
GAAAUGCGAUAAGUAAUGUGAAUUACAGAAUUCAGUGAAUCAUCGAAUCUUUGAACGCAGAUUGCGCCCGCCAGUAUUCUGGCGGGCAUGCCUGUCCGAGCGUCAUUUCAACCAUCAAGCCCCCGGGCUUGUGUUGGGGACCUGCGGCUGCCCGCAGGCCCUGAAAACCAGUGGCGGGCUCGCUGUCACACCGAGCGUAGUAGCAAUCACCUCGCUCAGGGCGUGCUGCGGGUUCCGGCCGUUAAACAGCCUUACAAAACCCAAGGUUGACCUCGGAUCAGGUAGGAAGACCCGCUGAACUUAAGC